CGGUUAGGGACCCCGCCGCGCCGCGCUCCGCGGGCGCCCCCGCCCCCUGCCCGCCCCCGCGCUGCCCCGCGCACCCUGAUAAGGAGACACAUCACGUGUCGCUCCGGCUCCUCUCCCGGGGACGCGCUACCGCGGCGGCAGCAGCAGCAGCCUGUUGCAAAUAGCAUCUCUAACUCGCCCUCGUCGCGGGGAGGGAGGGGCGCCUCCAAGGAGAGGAAAACUUUUCGUCCUUGCGCGAUUUGGGUCCCCGCAGGGGUCAGUCAUCCAUCCAGACCUAAAAGACACGUUAAAUCUAACAGGACCGUGAACAUUAGCACAGGAACAGGAGGUGCAAGUGCUGUGUCUAAUCAAAGGCGAGAUUCGGCCGCUUGCACGUACAGAAAUCAAGUGAUAGCCUCUAGGCAAAAGGCUUGUGCCAGCAUACAUGGUAUCCUAUCCUCCUGA
rnacentral:lncRNA from 1 species